UGCAACUCUUUACUUUACCUGCGGGUGGCGCAAACACCCUGGGAGUUCACUUAAGACCAAACAUGCUUUUCCUCCGGUAAAGACGUUGCUAGACGCAAACAAGGACUGGAUAAAAGCCGUGAGAGAGAGAGUUAAGCUGCAUGGCAGCCAGCUUCUCAAGAUACCUCCGGUCCAAAUGGCUCUUUGAGUGUUUAAGGUUGCCGACCCCUGGGAUAGACCAUCUGAAUCUGACCCUAGCAGUCAGUGGCGAGCCAACCGCAGAAGUGAACGGAUCAAGAGCCCGGUGUGGCCAGCCGUGGCAUCGGAACCAGCAUCAUCCUGUGCCUUCAUUUGUGAUACAGAUAAGAACACACGUAAACCUACCCGGGUAGUGAACAGAACAUACUCUAUGAAACACACACACACACACACAUACACACAUCAAGGACUUCCAUGGACUCUCUUCUUUAUUUGAGUUUUAUUUUGAUUUUAUUGUGCGCUAUGCACUCAGGAAGCCGGUUUAGGUAGGCAGGGACUGUAAAGAACUGUCAUUCAUUUUGUAUAAUACAAUGUUUAAAUUUA